rnacentral:lncRNA from 1 species
UUUUAGGUUCUUAUCCUAUUUGGGACCUGAUUUGACCAAGUCUUUCUUCAUACUUCUAAACAUUCUUCAUGCAUCUCUAACAAUUAUAAUCAAUAAAAUUAAUUGUAUUAUAACAUAUUCUAACCCUAAACAACUUUAGACAAGCCAUUUCCUGCUUCAAAGCAAUGGUUGUGGGUUGUUAUCCCAUUUGGGACCAGAUUUGACCAAGUAUUUCUUCACACUUCUAAACAUUCUUUAUGUAUCUCUAGAACUUGUAAUAAUUAAAAUUCAUUGUAUUAUAACAUAUACUAACCCUAAAAAACUUUAGACAAGCCAAAUAGUGCCUCAAAGCAAUGGUUUUGGGUUCUUAUCCCAUUUGGGACCUGAUUUGACCAUGUCUUUCUUCACACUUCGAAACAUUCUUCAUGCAUCUCUAACACUUGUAAUCAAUCAAAUUCAUUGUAUUAUAAAAUAUUCUAACCCUAAACAAAUUUAGACAAGCCAUUUAGUGCCUC